GACGAACGCUGGCGGCGUGCUUAACACAUGCAAGUCGAACGAUGACGACCGAGCUUGCUCGGUCUGAUUAGUGGCGAACGGGUGAGUAACACGUGAGUAACCUGCCCCCCACUUCGGGAUAACUUCGAGAAAUCGUGGCUAAUACCGGAUAUGAACUUCCGCCGCAUGGUGGUUGUUGGAAAGUUUUUCGGUGGGGGAUGGACUCGCGGCCUAUCAGUUUGUUGGUGAGGUAAUGGCUCACCAAGACGAUGACGGGUAGCCGGCCUGAGAGGGCGACCGGCCACACUGGGACUGAGACACGGCCCAGACUCCUACGGGAGGCAGCAGUGGGGAAUAUUGCACAAUGGGCGAAAGCCUGAUGCAGCGACGCCGCGUGAGGGAUGACGGCCUUCGGGUUGUAAACCUCUUUCAGUAGGGAAGAAGCGAGAGUGACGGUACCUGCAGAAGAAGCGCCGGCUAACUACGUGCCAGCAGCCGCGGUAAUACGUAGGGCGCAAGCGUUGUCCGGAAUUAUUGGGCGUAAAGAGCUUGUAGGUGGCUUGUCGCGUCUGCCGUGAAAACCCGAGGCUCAACCUCGGGCGUGCGGUGGGUACGGGCAGGCUAGAGUGUGGUAGGGGAGACUGGAACUCCUGGUGUAGCGGUGAAAUGCGCAGAUAUCAGGAAGAACACCGAUGGCGAAGGCAGGUCUCUGGGCCAUUACUGACACUGAGAAGCGAAAGCAUGGUAGCGAACAGGA
rnacentral:rRNA from 1 species